GCAUAAUGAUUCCGCAUGGUUUCAUUAUUAAAGGAUUCCGGUAAAGGAUGGGGAUGCGUUCCAUUAGGUUGUUGGUGAGGUAACGGCUCACCAAGCCUUCGAUGGAUAGGGGUUCUGAGAGGAAGGUCCCCCACAUUGGAACUGAGACACGGUCCAAACUCCUACGGGAGGCAGCAGUGAGGAAUAUUGGUCAAUGGGCGGUAGCCUGAACCAGCCAAGUAGCGUGAAGGAUGAAGGCUCUAUGGGUCGUAAACUUCUUUUAUAUAAGAAUAAAGUGCAGUAUGUAUACUGUUUUGUAUGUAUUAUAUGAAUAAGGAUCGGCUAACUCCGUGCCAGCAGCCGCGGUAAUACGGAGGAUCCGAGCGUUAUCCGGAUUUAUUGGGUUUAAAGGGAGCGUAGGUGGACUGGUAAGUCAGUUGUGAAAGUUUGCGGCUCAACCGUAAAAUUGCAGUUGAUACUGUCAGUCUUGAGUACAGUAGAGGUGGGCGGAAUUCGUGGUGUAGCGGUGAAAUGCUUAGAUAUCACGAAGAACUCCGAUUGCGAAGGCAGCUCACUGGACUGCAACUGACACUGAUGCUCGAAAGUGUGGGUAUCAAACAGGAUUAGAUACCCUGGUAGUCCACACAGUAAACGAUGAAUACUCGCUGUUUGCGAUAUACAGUAAGCGGCCAAGCGAAAGCAUUAAGUAUUCCACCUGGGGAGUACGCCGGCAACGGUGAAACUCAAAGGAAUUGACGGGGGCCCGCACAAGCGGAGGAACAUGUGGUUUAAUUCGAUGAUACGCGAGGAACCUUACCCGGGCUUAAAUUGCAGUGGAAUGAUGUGGAAACAUGUCAGUGAGCAAUCACCGCUGUGAAGGUGCUGCAUGGUUGUCGUCAGCUCGUGCCGUGAGGUGUCGGCUUAAGUGCCAUAACGAGCGCAACCCUUAUCUUCAGUUACUAACAGGUCAUGCUGAGGACUCUGGAGAGACUGCCGUCGUAAGAUGUGAGGAAGGUGGGGAUGACGUCAAAUCAGCACGGCCCUUACGUCCGGGGCUACACACGUGUUACAAUGGGGGGUACAGAAGGCAGCUAGCGGGUGACCGUAUGCUAAUCCCAAAAUCCUCUCUCAGUUCGGAUCGAAGUCUGCAACCCGACUUCGUGAAGCUGGAUUCGCUAGUAAUCGCGCAUCAGCCACGGCGCGGUGAAUACGUUCCCGGGCCUUGUACACACCGCCCGUCAAGCCAUGGGAGCCGGGGGUACCUGAAGUACGUAACCGCAAGGAUCGUCCUAGGGUAAAACUGGUGACUGGGGCUAAGUCGUAACAAGGUAGCCGUACCGGAAGGUGCGGCUGGAACACCUCCUUU
rnacentral:rRNA from 1 species